CAGGAACGCUGGCGGCAGGCUUAACACAUGCAAGUCGAGCGCCCCGCAAGGGGAGCGGCAGACGGGUGAGUAACGCGUGGGAAUCUACCCAUCUCUACGGAAUAACGCAUGGAAACGUGUACUAAUACCGUAUACGUCCUUCGGGAGAAAGAUUUAUCGGAGAUGGAUGAGCCCGCGUUGGAUUAGCUAGUUGGUGGGGUAAAGGCCUACCAAGGCGACGAUCCAUAGCUGGUCUGAGAGGAUGAUCAGCCACACUGGGACUGAGACACGGCCCAGACUCCUACGGGAGGCAGCAGUGGGGAAUAUUGGACAAUGGGCGCAAGCCUGAUCCAGCCAUGCCGCGUGAGUGAUGAAGGCCCUAGGGUUGUAAAGCUCUUUCACCGGUGAAGAUAAUGACGGUAACCGGAGAAGAAGCCCCGGCUAACUUCGUGCCAGCCGCCGCAGUAAUAC
rnacentral:rRNA from 1 species